UCAAAAAUUGGUUAUCAGCUUCUGAAAAAUCCGCGGCUGCGUGCACCACCUGGAAAAAAUGUCUGGGGCACUCUGGGGAAAAGUUUGGGGCUUUUUUCUGGGAGCACAGAAUAUUUCAUGGAAGAUCGUUUUGUUGUCGCAAAAAUUCCAAAAAUAUAAAAUCUCGCCAGCCAAAAAAUUAGGGCCAACAUGGUUCCGCGUUUCGUUAUGUAAUUGCCGCGUCCCGUCCAAAAAGGAGAAGCAAAAACCAAAGGAAAAAAGAUACACACACACACACACAUUUUUUGGGAGAGAUCGAAGUGUUUCGAAAUGGAAAAAAAGGGCCGCGCAUUCGUCCUGGUAUCUUCUCUGUUGCCGCGACAAGGCUGAGUUGACAGUUCGUUUCUCGAAAGCGUAACUGAAACGCAAAAGUGGCCUGAGAGGAGAAGCUUUACGUAUUAUAUAAUACAAU
rnacentral:misc_RNA from 1 species